AAAGAAGCCAGGGACAGUGCUCAGGCCCUGAGUUCAAGCCCCAGGACUGGCAAAAAAAAAGAGGAGGGUACAGGUUCUGAACUCUGGUAUAGACCCUUGGCAACUAGUCUAUACCAAGAGGGGGAGAGAAAAGGCCUUGGUAUUUUGCUGCCAAUGCUCAGUAAUAGUCUGGGUAUACAUAUAAUAGGGGCACUUCCUGUAGAAAAGAAGGGUCUCACAAGCUGCCUCCCCUCUUCCACCCUUUAGAUACCUUCAGCAGCAGCAAUAUGCAGGGCUGUGCGGGAGUCAUAGUCUUUCUGUUCCAUAUCCAUUGCUGACAAAGCAAACCUGAGGGUAGUGGAAAGCAGCUAGAGUUAUCCGGAUCAGUCUAGAAUUAUCUGUGUCCUUUCUGUAGUUGGGUUAGAUUGGAUGGGUUUCAGGAAAAGUAAAAUGGUUAAUGCCAAUAUCUGUGGCUCUAUAUAAUGUGUGCGGUAACUGGUAAGACUUUGUUCCACUUUCAGCAUGGGAACAUGAUGCUUCCAGAAGUAUCACUAGCUCCUGGCUAUAGUGUCUAUUUGUUGGUGUUGGUAAUCCACUUGAGAUGGGAUCCUUGCCUCUUAGGACCAUGCUCUCAGCACUCAAUAAACAGUGACUGCCACUUAAGCACUUACAUGGCUGGCAUUUUGCUUUCUAUCUCAUAGAAAUCCAAUCUGUGUCCAUUCUGGCAAACCCUAAAGUUGGCGUACUUUUAACUGUCUUGCUAUGUUGCCUCCUAAUAAGAUCUCUGACCAGUUUAUUGUGUGUAUUUGGUAUACAGUAGAAUUACCUCCGAAGAGCUGAGACAUCUCCACUGUAGGCAGCAAAUAACAGGUUCACCACAGUCUUGUUCUGGAACACAUACAACUGAGAUUAACUGUGGCUUUGAAUUUACCCAGGCCCAGCUUUGCCUUGUAACCCUUCUCCAUGGAUGCUUAGC